rnacentral:lncRNA from 1 species
UAAUAUCUUCUGGACAGAAUCUAUCCCUUCUCUCUCUCUCUCUCUCUCUAUAUAUAUAUAUAUACACGCUCCUCCUCUGUUUCUCACUCGAACCACAUCUCUCUCUCUCUCUCUCUCUCUCUCUCUCCGGCAGUCUUUCUCUCAGAUUCGUUUAGAAGAAAAGGAGAAGAUAUGGGUCUGGUGGUGGUGAUCUCGCUGCCGCUGAUCCUGUUCUGCUUGCUGCUCGGCUUCGGCUGCUACUUCUUCGGACGAGCCCGGGGGAGGCAAGACAUCCGCACCAACCCCCAGGUGUACGGCACCCCGACCCCGCCCCCCGGCACUUUUGCUUCGCCGCCGCCGCCGUUCCCGCACUUCAAGCCGCCCCACCCCGACGAAAACGUCUGAACGCUCUCGACUCCUCCAUCCUAAGACAGAGCUCGUCUUGUGAAUUUCUCUUCGAAGUGGGGUUGCUUUUCUUUUUGCCUGAUUUUUUUGUAUUAUAUCGACAGCAUUUCGUUAUGAAAUUCUUUGUUGGGUAUAUAAGGGGCCGUUUGAGAUUGAGAUUGGUGUAUGAUAAGCAAGGAGCAUGUCGAGUGAGGUCGUGUGCUUGUGGAUUUGUGAUGUGAAGGUAUAAAACCUUGUGGAAACUACCAAGUCUGGGAAUAAAUUCAUCUGUAGAUUUGAAUUGGGUGAGGAAAUUGAAGGGUUUUCCAGCUUGAUUGAUUCAAUUCGUAUGCUAAAUUUUUUUGCAAUCUUUCUGGAACGAUCGGAAUGUUGUCGUCCGGGGUGUCUGGCGAACCAAGUGGAAUUAGAAAAC